CUAUGAUGCCAAAUUGGACCGGUAUGUUGCUUCCGAACAGCAAAUGAAUCAUGGUUCCGCUAUCAAUACCUCCGUCCGCCCUUCCGUAACAUCCAUGGGAAUACGCAAAGUUUA
rnacentral:sRNA from 1 species